UGGGGAAUUUUGCGCAAUGGGGGAAACCCUGACGCAGCAACGCCGCGUGAGUGAUGAAGGCCUUCGGGUCGUAAAGCUCUGUCAGAGGGGAGGAAGUGCAGGGGCGCUAAUAUCGCUUUUGCUUGACGGUACCCUCAAAGGAAGCACGGCUAACUCCGUGCCAGCAGCCGCGGCAAUACGGAGGGUGCGAGCGUUGUUCGGAAUUAUUGGGCGUAAAGCGCGUGUAGGCGGUUUGGUAAGUCUGAUGUGAAAGCCCCGGGCUCAACCUGGGAAGUGCAUUGGAAACUGUCAGACUUGAAUACGGGAGAGGGUAGUGGAAUUCCUAGUGUAGGAGUGAAAUCCGUAGAUAUUAGGAGGAACACCGGUGGCGAAGGCGGCUACCUGGACCGAUAUUGACGCUGAGACGCGAAAGCGUGGGGAGCAAACAG
rnacentral:rRNA from 1 species